CCUAAUGAAAUCGUUAUAAAUAUGUGUUUAAUACUGUAAAAUACACUUGAUGUUACAGUCACUGCCCUUGCUAUCCAGAAUGAAAGAGAACAUUCCAACUUAAACCCAUUGUGCGAGCUGUCUCUUUAGUACCGUGUGGUUUAUUUACAUAUUGCUGCUGAUUGGACUGCGGUUCUGACACACCCACCAAACAACAGAAAAGGAUUUUGAAACACACAUCCUGUUCAAAAUCACAGGACCCUACAUCACCCCCUGGAGGAUUGCCUGGAUUACAGCAAGAACUUGAUUAAAGUAUCAUCUACCAAGCAAUAGAGGAGGAACCCAUUUGACCAGCAGCGGCCCUGCUGAUGAUUCAGGAAGAACAAAGACUUUCACAGAGGAAGCAUGAAGUUGAUAAAAAAGACUUCAUAAUUGCAGCUGACUGUCGAUGGUUAACGUCUAAAUAACAUACAUGCUCACAGAAUCUUUCCACUUAUAAGAUAUGGGAGAAAUUUGGAUAUCUGACUCUGCCCUUGAAAGGAUUCGCUACAUUUUGUUCUGCAUAUGGGUCAUCGAUAUCAUCCUGAUAUUUAUCGUACAUCACUUGGAAUCCUGUUUAAUAAGGGCAAUGGAAAAUUUCUACAAAGAUCAUCAAGACAAUGUUUGCAUUGAAAGUGACUGAGGAAUUUCAAUUUUGUUUAGUAUAGGCCGAUUUCACUGCAUAUAUGAAGAGAAAUACACAGCUUAAGAGAAAUACACAAAUGAAAGCACUAAUUAAAAAACAUCCACCCUUGUUUACUAUAAUAUUUUCCAUCACAUAUGCUUGUACAAUUAAUAUUUUCCAUCACAUAUGCUUGUACAAUUUUCCGCCAAUAAGAAAACAUCUAAUUACAGAUAUCGAAGGUCUUAACAUUUCCUUUUUAGUUGUCACAAUAAAUUUGAAGAAGUGGUUCAUAUGUUUAACACUUAAAUAUCACACCCAAGAAAGUGUUAACCCAUUAUUAUCAUCAUACAAUUUAGUAUGUUAUACCACGGGUCUGUUGAAUGCUGUAUUCUGAUUGGCUGAGAAAUGUUCCACAGGUAUGCAUUAAUUUCUGAUAACCGCACACCUAACUUGUCAAAUGUCUUCAAAAUAGGCACCAGAGCAAUGUUUGUGGUAACUGUG